rnacentral:hammerhead_ribozyme from 1 species
AUCUGAAUGAUAAGUCCCGAAUGGGACGAAACGCGCGUUCUGGAU